AAUUAGUCAUAAUGACAAUCUUCCCACAUCUUUGCUCGUGGCAUUGAUGCCUCUACCGUAGUUGGUCGAGCCUCUUUUACAAACAUUUUUAAUUCUGGUAGAUGCAAACCAUUGAUUAAUAUCGACAAUAUAAACGCAUCUAGCAUUUUAUUAUUUACCCAUUUACGAAGUAUAUCUGUAAUCCGGCCAUAAUAGGACUCCACUGAUUCCC
rnacentral:lncRNA from 1 species